UCAAUAUGAAUCUGUGUUAUUGCUUAAUAUUUGACAUCUUAUCCUUUAUUCUUUCACCUCGAGUUGACUGAAUGAAUUAACAUAUAAACAUUUCGAGUUCAUGUGCCGCCUUUACUACUCUUUUUGGGUUCUUGUAUUGUGUCUGUUACUACUCGUUUUGAUCCCUUUUAUUUGGUUACUUUGUUGAGUCUACUUAGGAGUGUAGGCUUUGUUUCCGUUUUCUCAUAUGACAUUUGCUCUGUUUUUGUUUUCUUUUCUCCAUUCAAGUUUGCCGCAUCUGUUUGUGUUCACUAUUUUCCAAUAUUCAAUUUAAUCACUAGUGCCUUAAUCCUUUAGAUCUGUUUUUAUCUCAAUUAGUGCUAUUAAAUAUUUUGCUUUGAAUAUUAAGUCCUUCAACAUUUGUUCAUACUUGUGCUUCUAAUGAGUUUUUGAAAUCAGGAAAUAUAGUAUUUGUCAUGUUAUUUAAAAGAUGUUUUACUUAAGUGCGUGAAUAAUUUCCUUCCGUUUCAAUUCUCUAAUUGAUUAAGCAUGAGAUGUGCAUUAACUUGUCAAGAUGGAAUUAUUGGUAGGAGUAUAUGAAUCACCUGGUGAGCAUUAGUGAUGCUUCUGAUGCCUAUAUGUUCUCUGUUGAUACUUGUAGUAAUUUGUAAGUGUCUUGAAUGAGUUAUAUCACAAUUAUCUCUAGUCGAAUACAUAAUUAUAUACAUGAAUUGUUCAAAAUCCCUCACUAAUUCCUUUUCUCUUUACUUUUAAUACAUGUGACAUCAACUCGAGUUCAUCUUGGACUCCAUCUUUUUUCCCUUCGCAUUUUGAGAGGGCCAUAAAGGCCCAAAAUUCUUUUAUCGAGUCAGCCAACCUUGAUAAAUUGAAUAACAAGUCUUUGGAGUUGGUUACAGGUCUCAGAAAGCAGAAAAAUGGUCUGUAUACAUUCGAUAUACACUGAUAUACAACAGAUAUAUACAAAAACGAAAAUUGAGUUAAAUUCCAAAAAUUGCUGUGAAUUUGGCCCAAGAAAAGCCCAAAUUUAAUUUCUCCCUUACUCUUAAAUUAUUGAUUGUGAUUAUUUAUUGUUUAUUAUUUAUUAACUCUAACUUUGGAAUUGUUAACUAACUUAAUUAGAUUCCCCAAAAGAUGAGUUAUUUUCUUUGUGUUGG
rnacentral:lncRNA from 1 species